AAAGUCGUAACAAGGUCUCCGUUGGUGAACCAGCGGAGGGAUCAUUAAAGAGUUGCUACAGCUCCCUACAAACCAUCGCGAACGAUACCCAAGAAGACAGCCGUUGCCUCGGCGGGCCACCACGCCCGCCGGGGACAGCGGCCCCCACAGGCUCUUUGCAGUUACCGGCCCCUCUGAGUUUGAUUUUACCAAAAUCAGUCAAAACUUUCAACAACGGAUCUCUUGGUUCUG
rnacentral:misc_RNA from 1 species